AUGUUUGUUAGAUACUAUGGUAUAGAAGCAUUCACAAAAAAUGGAUUCAAAUCUUGGAAGGAUGGGCCUAAAGUUUUUAAUCAGCAUGUUGGCAAGCAUGAUAGUGCUCAUAAUAAAUCUAGGCAACAUUAUGAGGAUUUCAAAUAUCAAAGACAAAAUCUGCCACAUGUGUUUGAUAGGGGUUCUCAUAAGCAAGAAGAAGAAUACAAAGCUCGUCUCUUGAUUACAUUGAGUAUUGUCAAUUUUUUGAUACUACAAGCUCUUGCUUUUCAUGGUCAUGAUGAGUCUACUAGCUCAAUGAAUAAGGGUAACUUUAGAGAGUUGUUCGACUUGUUCAUAAAGAAAGACCCAAAGGUUAUCGCACACGUAAAGGCGUUUUGCCUCGUCCUAGACGUAAGUUUUAACAUUUUGCAUCUAUUGUUAACUAGUUUUGCCUGCUACAUUAUGCACUGA
rnacentral:rRNA from 1 species